rnacentral:rRNA from 2 species
CUCCCAAACCCCUGUGAACAUACCUAUACGUUGCCUCGGCGGAUCAGCCCGCGCCCUGUAAAACGGGACGGCCCGCCCGAGGACCCUAAACUCUGUUUUUAGUGGAACUUCUGAGUAAAACAAACAAAUAAAUCAAAACUUUCAACAACGGAUCUCUUGGUUCUGGCAUCGAUGAAGAACGCAGCAAAAUGCGAUAAGUAAUGUGAAUUGCAGAAUUCAGUGAAUCAUCGAAUCUUUGAACGCACAUUGCGCCCGCCAGUAUUCUGGCGGGCAUGCCUGUUCGAGCGUCAUUUCAACCCUCAAGCUCAGCUUGGUGUUGGGACUCGCGGUAACCCGCGUUCCCCAAAUCGAUUGGCGGUCACGUCGAGCUUCCAUAGCGUAGUAAUCAUACACCUCGUUACUGGUAAUCGUCGCGGCCACGCCGUAAAACCCCAACUUCUGAAUGUUGACCUCGGAUCAGGUAGGAAUACCCGCUGAAC